GCUUCUAAAGGAUAAUUAGCCAUCCGUUGGUCUUAGGAACCGAGGUGUACUCUUGGUGCAAUCCCAGUAGCAGCU
rnacentral:tRNA from 1 species